CACGUAGGCACCAAGCGUUGUCCGGAUUUAUUGGGCGUAAAGAGCUCGUAGGCGGUCUGUCGCGUCUGCUGUGAAAACUCAGGGCUUAACCCUGAGCUUGCAGUGGGUACGGGCAGACUAGAGUGCGGUAGGGGAGACUGGAAUUCCUGGUGUAGCGGUGAAAUGCGCAGAUAUCAGGAGGGAACACCGGUGGGCGAAAGGGCG
rnacentral:rRNA from 1 species